GAAACGGAUGCUAAAACCGGAUAGGUAGCAGACAAGCAUUUGACUGCUAUUAAAGUGGCUGAGGCCAUGAACAUGGAUGGACCUGCGGUGCAUUAGCUAGUUGGUGAGGUAACGGCCCACCAAGGCGACGAUGCAUAGCCGGCCUGAGAGGGCGGACGGCCACAUUGGGACUGAGACACGGCCCAAACUCCUACGGGAGGCAGCAGUAGGGAAUUUUCGUCAAUGGGGGGAACCCUGAACGAGCAAUGCCGCGUGAGUGAGGAAGGUCUUCGGAUCGUAAAGCUCUGUUGUAAGAGAAAAACGGCACUCAUAGGGAAUGAUGAGUGAGUGAUGGUAUCUUACCAGAAAGUCACGGCUAACUACGUGCCAGCAGCCGCGGUAAUACGUAGGUGGCGAGCGUUAUCCGGAAUGAUUGGGCGUAAAGGGUGCGUAGGUGGCAGAUCAAGUCUGGAGUAAAAGGUAUGGGCUCAACCCGUACUGCUCUGGAAACUGAUCAGCUAGAGAACAGAAGAGGACGGCGGAACUCCAUGUGUAGCGGUAAAAUGCGUAGAUAUAUGGAAGAACACCGGUGGCGAAGGCGGCCGUCUGGUCUGGAUUCUGACACUGAAGCACGAAAGCGUGGGGAGCAAAUAGGAUUAGAUACCCUAGUAGUCCACGCCGUAAACGAUGAGAACUAGGUGUUGGGGGAAUAACUCAGUGCC
rnacentral:rRNA from 1 species